GCAAUUUACAGGGCCCUUCUGAUCGAGAAGAGAGCUUCUGUAUGAGGGUUGGCCAUUGAAAACCAAAUGCAAUGCCAAAAUCUAUUAUAUGUAAGGUAGUGGCUUUCUCUGCUAUUCUCAAAAUCAUGUAAUUUCCAAAGCAAAUGGAUAACUUAUGAAACGGACAUGUCGAAAUGUGAAGGUGAAGAGCUUUCAAGAUAUUGGCUACUGAGGUCGUCCUGGCAACAAGAAUAGAAUAGAAGUGCUGCGUUCGAGUCUCAUUGCCCACCAAUCGUGCCUCUAGCCCAUUGGCAAAGUAAUGGGCCAGUCUUUGAGACCCAUCGCCAGAUGGAGAAGAGUUCUCUCUAAUCUGCUUCAACAAUUCAUUAGCGGUCCUGAAGUCACUAGUAGAGAUGGCUUGGGCACAGAGAAUCAGAAGAGUGCUCAAGUCAACAGUAUUCUCACUUCCCUGCUUCUUGCCACGACCCCUACCUCUAUUGGAACCGCGCUUCUUCCUUUGUGGUCGUAUGUCUUUGUUCAGCCCUGUCUCCACAGAUUUAUCGCCAGAACACAUAGCCUCACCAUUUUCGUUGCAUAGCAACACCCUGUCGAACAAAUCGGAAAAUUCACUCUCCUCUGUAUACAAGGCUGUUUGCUUAUUGGCCCUGCCUUCCUCAAAAGCGUCCUCGUCCCUCUCAUGAUUUUUGAAUCCCUUGAAUCCAUCAGAUAAGCACCUCAUGUUGAUCUCCUCAUUGAUGAGCAUUCUUGGGGUUCCUUUCUCUGUUUCCAAUGGUGGUUUGCUGUCCUCUGGGUUAAUUCCUAAUUGACUGUUUGUAGGAAGGAAAUUGCUGGCCUCCUCUAAUCCUUUCUUGAACUGAACCAUAGACUCACUAUCACUGAAAAUGCUCUUGACAAGAAGCUCACGCAAAGAUUCCUCAGACCCAUCAUCAUAAUUCGCGAUGCUGCUUGAAGAAUUAGACAACAACCGUGAACUGGAAUCCACAUUCGACUGGAAGUCCAGGUCAGAAUUUUCCUGCACAGCAUGGUUAUGUUCUUCAAUUGUGUAAAGAAUAUUAGCAACAGCUGAGUCGCUAGAGCUAACAGUAACACUUGUGGCAUCGCGGCUUCCACAAGCACUGGCACUUCCAGAAAGGUUGCCAUUUGGGCUCUCGAUAUAAUGGCUUAAAACAAACUGUGAGGGGCUCUGAACAGACACCUCUGAAUGCUGCUGACCAAGGGCAUUGUACAAUGACUCUUCUGCAUUCUGCAGAGCAACCUGAUCAGCAAAUUCCCACGGUUGCUCCUCCCCGUUCUCUUCCAAAAGCAUCUGACUUAUGUACUUUAGAACAGGAUCCGAUGAAUCAGUGUCCCCCAACGGAGGCAGGGCACUUCUCAAGGUCAUAGAUGGACCAAAUGGGCCUCCAUUUGAGAUCCCUCUUGUCGAGGGAAACAUUAGAUCUCCAAUACCGAGGUCGAUAGAUUUUGAAGGGAGAUCAUUUGGACGGUCUACUUUAUUCGAAAGAAAAGCACUAUCUGAGGAUUUAAGAUCUAGGAAAGGGUCAUCCAAAAAGAAACCAUCUGUGAGACUCGGGUAUCGAUCUGGACUAGUUGAAAAGGCAUGGCUAUCUAUGGGACGAUCAUCUCCAUUGAUACAAGCGGAGGAAUCAAAGAACAGAGGAUCCAUGGUCGUAUACUCUCCUCAAACCCUAUCAAAGUCUCUGCCCCAACAUCAUGUUUUGAUGCAAACCACCAGUAUGUUUGGACUCCUAGAAAGUCAACCAACUAAAUUAAAUUGCUCCCAACCUGCAACAAAAGAACUCACUCUCCAAUCUUCUUCUUCUUUUUCUCUUCGUUUGCUCAAACAAACUUCAAUUUAAAGUCAAAGAAUCCAAGAACAGACGGAUCACUUGCAGGGAAGAAAGCGGAGUACUUCAAAGGGCAAAGGACCACACGGGAGGUAAACAUCGAAACUUCAAAGGCAAAGGACCAUGCAGGAAGUAAACAUCGAAAUUGCUCCUCCAAAGCAAAUGAAAAGGAAAGGCACAGAACCCGACUUUUCAUCUACAACAUAGAAAAGGAAAAACAUGGAUUGGAUCGGAUCUGCAUGCCGCAAAUGGGAAAGUGGGGUUGGAAGCUGCAAAAAGACCGACCUGAUGACAAGUUCUUUCGAUGCGAUUCUUAAAAUACGAGCCAAUCAGGGGAUGAAUGAUUGCGUGCAGGUCAGCAUAUUCCGCGAAGGUGACGAGCUGGAUAACCCAACUCCGACUUGAUAUCCAAAAGAGAUUGGCGUAGGAUGAUUUGGGUCAAACAACAAGGCGGACACAGACGAUCUCCAUCUGCGCCUCUUCCUCUUCGUGUCCCUUCGACCCGUGAAUCGGUCAACCAUGGAUCCCGCUUUAACCAGCUGCGGAUGAUGAUUCGUUAGGUUUACCUAGCCAGUAAUUGGCAGCUGCUGCGAAACAAAAAAAGUCAAAGCAAAGAGGCAGAAAACUCCCGGGAAAAAACCACUAAAAAUUCUCAAAUUCGGACCGCUGUGUGCCGACCAAUACCUGAAUUUUUAUGUGUCUUUAAAAACUCUAAAUUACGCACGUGGCAAUAUCAAUAGCCUUGAUCUCGUCUAAUGUUGCCAUAAAAAAUUUUAUGUGGCUGGUUAAGAGGACAUCAAAAAGCAAACCGGACUAAAAUGACUUUGACAUGACUUAAGUGAAGAAAAAACACCGUCAUUAAAGUAAGAAAACAGUCCAUUGUUCUCCUUCGACUUCAUUAUUUCUUUUUCUUUUUACCUUUUUGCGCAAAAAGAAGCAUAUUAAGAAUUCAAUAAUUUCUUGUGUGUUUUGCAUUUUUCCAUUAAUGUCUGUGUGUGUAAGAGAUCCACAAUAAUCGGUCCUCAUUCGGCUUAGAAACUCAUUCUUCGACCCAUGGAGGGAAGCCCCUCUUCAAUUGGAAUUCAAGCUCAGGUGCGUGCAAUUGUGGUGAUUGGUUUGGUGUCUCAAGUGACCUUAAGGCUCUAUUCGUUUCGCAAAAAAUAUGACAUUUUUCAAAAAUAUUUCUAGGAAAAUAUGUUUAUUUUUCAAUGUUUGAGUAAAAUUUAAAAAUGAAGUGGAAAAUAUUUUUUGUUGGUUAGUAAGGAAUAUUUUUUAUCUCCAUACACUCUUUUUCAAUAAUUGUAUUAUUAUUUUAUCUUUUAAAAUCGAUUUUUUAUUUUUUUUAUUUUUUUAUAAAAAUCGAUUUUUAUUUCUUUCUUAUAUUUUGAAAAAUUGAUUAUCAAAUUAUCUUUUUCUUUUUCUUUUUCUUCUUUUCUUCUUCUUUUCUUUGUUUUGCUCUUCAUCUUCGAUCGGUUGCCAACAACCAACCACAAGAAAGCCUCAAGCGAGAGACUCUGGCGAGGCCCAAGGCCAACAAAUGCGAGACUCACCAAAUCGACAAGCUUAAGCCAAAGGCAAGGCUCGCACUCACUAAUCUGGCAAGCCUCGGGUGUCACUAGAUCUCGAGGCUUGCCAAAUUAGCGAGCUAGAGGCUCUUGCUCGCAGAUCAGGCGAGCCUCAAGCUUGCUAGCAAGGUCGAGGGUGGCUUGUAGCCAAUCGUCAACCGCCGUUGUGGCUAGCGACCAACCAAGAAAGAAGAAGAGGAAAACAAUGAAAAAAAAAAGAAAAAAAAAAGUAAGGACUUGUAGGGGUGUCAAAUGAGAGAGAGUAAGUGGGGGAAUUGUUUUCUCUUAUUUGAAAAGUAGAAACAUUUUCCUUUAUUUUAGAAGACUUUUUUUUCUUCAUGGAAAAUGUUUUCCUCAAGUAAUUCAUUUUCUAUGAAAGGAACACUAGAAAAUCUAGAAAAUAUUUUCUUAAAAAUUAUUUUCCACGAAACGAAUAAAGUGUAAUUAGACCUUCAUCUCUCAACAUCACCAUGAGAGAGAGAGAGAGAGAGAAAGAGAGAGAGUGAGUGAUGAAACCUUAUUUUUGAUCCAAUUCGACUUUAGCAACCAAAACAUUGUCGUUUAUGUUUCAUGGCCACAUCAAAUUAUCUCCGAACAAAACCUUGUUGUUAGCUACUUCCUUCCGUUCUCGGUACUCUAACAACAAUCUAGAAAGGAUUGUGAUUGAGCAUGUUGCUAUGAAUACUGGUGUCAUGGUUUGUAUAACAUGAAUUUUUCAUGUUAUUUUAUCAUCUUUCAAAUUAGUUGAAUUUGGGAUUUUUAUCUUAAGAGGGCAUGUGAAUAUUGGUUUGUUCAUAAAAUUAUAAAUGCAAGUAAACAUGUCAAACAAAUAAUAUAAUGAUAAGAACAAGUAUCGCCCCCACAAAGAUUUAUGAUUAAUAAAUUAAUUAAAUACUAAAAAUAGAUUAAUUAUAAAAUUUAUCUAACAGAUCAAAAUAGAAUUGAGAAUAAAUUAAAACUAAAAAUCUUAAAAAUUAAAUUUUGAGACUAAAUACAAUAAAUCAAUCAGAUAAAUAUGUUAGAGCAUCCGAUUUUAUAAUAACUAUUGGAUAUAAAUUUCAAAUUAUUAUGCAUACAAUAACGAUAUUAAACUUGUGAUAGUGGAAUUUCUUAAUUGAUUUACUAACCUACUCGGUUUACUAAUCAACUAUAUCUUUAUGUUAAUUUAAAUAAACAUAAGUGUAUUAAAAUUUAUGAAUAUUCCCGAUUUAUAAUGAGUCUUUUUUAUCACCAUCAACGAAAGUUACACAAAUAGCAUGGUAUAUCUCUAUCAACAUUUAAUUCAUGAUUAUUUAUUAUAAUGAGUAAUUAUAUAUCAUCACUUUUAAUCUCAAAUAUGCACAUUAGAUCAUUCAAGUGAUGAUCAGUCACUUGCACGCAUAAAAAUCAUGAAAUUCACAUAAUCAUGGUUAGGUUACAUCAUAACCCUAACAAAAGAAAAUUAGAAUAUUGUAGAAAAAGAAACGAAAAUAUAAAUUAAACCCAACGUCUUGAAUCAUAGAUUAAGAAUGUUGCUACCACAUUAUUUUCUCUCGAGAAUGCUAAAAAAAAAUACUCUCAAAAUAAUGAAAAAUAUCUAAAAAAAUUCCAAAAUCCUAGCUGUCUAUAUUAUCCUAUUUAUACAACAUGUUCAAGAAUCCUAACAAAAUGCAAUUGCUUAUUUUUUUGCAUAAAACCAAGGAAUAAAUCACAGAAUCCUUGAUUUAGUAUCCAUCUUCCAACACUUUUUAAUUUGAAUUUCUAAAUGACAAAAACUUCCUUACCUUCUUUUGCCAUCUUUUUUUACUUAUUUUCUCCAUAUCUCAUUAUUCUGCAUAAACAAUGAAGAUUUUGGUAAAUAGAAGGAAAUCCAAUUAUUUUCUACUGAAUAUUGCAUUAUAAAUUCAUUGCCUAAAAUAGGUAAAAUUAACUCUAUUAUUAUAGAGUUAUCAAACUCCCAAACUUAAUAUUUUGCUAGUUCUCAAGCAAAAGCAAGAUAUAACACAUACUCAAGCUAACAACAUCCUCCAUGACAUCUUUCCAUAAUUGCUCAAAUUCAUAAUUCAAAGAAAAACACAAAUUUCAUCCAAACAUUGAAAUUGAUUUAUAAUUUAAGACCAAUUCUAACUAUGUAAUCAAAAUGUGUGUGAGCCAUCAUCUUUUAAAAUUAUAUGUAAUCUAGAUAAAUUCAAAUUUGUAUACAACUUCUCAAAAAUUCUCUAUAAUCAUGACCAAAUCUUCUAGGUUUGCUUUUCAUUCAUCUCUCCACUAAUGUAAGCUAAUUAUCCAAUCAAAAAUCAAUAGGACUUUUCUCGGUUUAUAAUAUAAGAUUGUGCUAAAUGUGAGAUAACUUUAAUUUCAAGCUUAAAUCACCUAUCAACACAUUAAAAUCCAAAGUCCCCAAUUUCACUCCUUCAAGAUAUCUCCCACCACAUAUCAUCAUUCCUUUUUUUUCCUUCUUUUUUUUCAUUGCUCUUUUUUUUUCUUUCAAAUUGCUUUAUGGUGGAGUUCCACCCAAAGUCCCUCCUAAUAUAACAUGAAUAUCUCCAAUCCAUUGAGUAUCCAAAAGGCUCACUCAAAUGAAAGUUCAAUAGGGAACCAUAAAAGCCAUUUUUUUUUAUGAUAUACCCCAAACAACCAUAGCAUUCAAUUUUUUUUUCUUUUUCAUGCUCCGUCCUUUCUCCCAAAUUGUUAUUAGGCUAAAAUAAACUUUUAUCCAAAAAAAAAUCAAUAUGUUCAUGGGGCAUGUGACAAUGAUAUAAUUUAAUAAAAGUUAAGCUAAACAUAUAUUGAUGUCAAUGAAAAUUGGAUAAUAAUUAAUGCUCAACUUAGAGGGUUGGCAAGAAAUGCUCAAUUGAUCCAAAAAUUGUUUGGAUCAUUUUCUCAGUUAGAUGUAACUUAAAUUUUGCUUCAAGAGAAAAUCAAACAAAUUCUAAGAUUUCGGUGAGAUCUAAGAAAAUCACAUACUUUGCAUGAAUGUUCUCUAUAUUUACACACAAUUAAAAAAUUAAUGACUUUUAAAACUAGUAAGUGGAUCAACAUAAUCGGAAUUAAAAUUAACUCACACAUCAGUUGCAAAUUCAAACAAAAUUUAAAUUUUCCUAAGAAUCGCAAAAAUUCACAAUAAGGAAUGUAAUCAUGAUAAAAAAAAAAAUUGCAUUUAACAAAAAUUUUGUCUCCCCCCAAACUUGAGUGAAGCAUUGUCCUCAAUGUGAAAAAGAAAAAUAGAAACAAUGAAACUCCCCUUGUUGUAGGACGUGUCCAUGGAUGGCCUUGAUGACUAAACUCUUAAAACACAAUUCCUCAAGAAAGAAAAUUAACCUGGAUAAAAUAGCAAAAAAUUAAUCUCUUUUUUUUUGUGAAAAGUAAACUUAAUAAUAAAUGAAGAAACAUAAUGAAAAUUUUUAGGUGGCCUCCCAAGAAGCGCUUGGUUUAUAGUUUUUAACCAAACUAUCUCAAAUGUUACUAUUCCGGAUAAUCAAAUUCAGUGGUGGCCUUCUGCUUAUUGUAACCACAUUCAAAGUGGGCCUUCAAACGUUGACCAUUCACCUUGAAUGCGCCCUUGGUAUCAUGCGCAACUUCAACUGUUCCAUAUAGGAAUACUAAAGUGACUAUAAAAGGAUCAGAUCAUCAAGACUGUAACUUUUCUAAAUAAAAUAUAUAUAUAUAUAUAUAUGACGAGAAUUAUAAAAUAAAACUUUUUGACCAAUUUUGAACUCUCUUCUGAAUAUGUGUUUGUCAUGCCAUCUUUUUGUACGCUCCUUUUACAAUUCAAAAUUUUCAUAGAUCUCACUGCGAAAUUUCUCCAAUUCAUUCAGUUGCAACAAUUUUUCUUCACUUGUAGAUUGCAUGUCAAAAUUCAAAAAUUUUAAUGCCAAAUAUAAUUUAUGUUCUAAUUCCACUAAUAAGUGACAAGCCUUCCCAAACACUAGCCUAAAAGGAGACAUCUCAAUUGGAGUUUUGAACACAAUCUUAUAAGCCCAGAGUGUAUCAUCAAGUUUCAUUGACCAAUCUUUCCUUGAGGCAUUUACUAUUUUUUCUAAAAUUCUCUUGAUUUUCCUAUUUGAAACUUCUACUUGACAUUUAGUUUGAAGAUGAUAAGAGGUUGCAACUUCGUGCGUAACACCUACUUACUCAAAAUUACUUCAAACUGUUUGUCGUAAAAAAUGUGCUCUCUAUCACUUAUGAUUGCCUUAGGAAUGUCGAAUCGAGUAAAAAGUAUUUUUCUCCAAGAAUUUGACCACAACCUUAACAUUAUUUGUUAGCAAUACUACAGCUUCUACCCACUUAGACACAUAUUCCACAACCACUAAAAUGUAUAGAUUCUCAUAAGAAAUUGUAAAGGGUCCCAUGAAAUCAAUACCUCAAAUAUCAAAUAAUCCACACACAAUAAUAUUGUUUAAAGGCAUUUCAUUUUUGAAAUAUCUUUAGUUCUCUAACACCUAUCACAUGAAGUUGCGUAGAAGUAUGUAUCUUUAAAAAGUGUGGGCCAAUAAAAUCCAGAUUGUAAAAUCUUAGUUGCAAUUUUGGUGAUACCAAAAUGGCUACCUACCUCUCCAUCAAUGAUGUAGAAUGCUUGCCCUCUCUUAGCUUGGAACAAUCUCCUUAUGACCCAAUCUGCACAUAUUUUAAACAAGAAAGGCUCUUCCCAAAAAUAAUUUUUAACAUCAGAAAAGAAUUUUUUUUUUUUCUAUUGAUAUGAUAAUUCAGAAGAAAGAACAUUACUUACCAAAUAAUUCAUAAAGUCAGCAUACCAGAAAAUUUGUGUGGAUUUGAUGGAAAAAAAUUUCUCAUCAGGAAACUCUUCAAAAAUUAGUCUUACAUCUUCCUUUAAAUUCGUAAUUCUUCAUAAAUGAUCCACAAUUAGAUUUUCAACCCCCUUCUUAUCUUUGAUUUCCAGAUCAAAUUCUUGCAGUAAUAGAAUCCACCUUAUUAACCGGGGUUUUGAUUCUUUCUUUUCAAGCAAAGACUUAAGAGUAGAGUGAUCAAAAUAAAUCAUAAUUUUUUAGCCAAUUAAAUAAGAACGAAACUUAUUAAAAGCAAAAACUACAGCCUAAAGUUCAUUCUCUGUUGUUGAAUCAUUUAAUUGUACACGAUAAGGUUCAACUAACAUAGUAUAUGAUUUGAAAAACUCCAUUUUUUCCUUUGUCCCAAAAUAGCUCCCAUUGUAGAAUCACUAGCAUCACACAUCAACUCGAAAGGUAAACCUCAAUCUAGUGCUACCAUAAUUGGUGCUAACACUAAAUUCUCCUUUAAAAUGUUAAAAACAUGUAUGCAUUCAUCAGAAAAACUAAAAGGAACAUCUUUUUCCAAAAGAUUAGAAAGAAGUUUAGCAAUUUUUUAAAAAUCUUUUUUAACCACAUGUAAAGUCCUACAUACACCAAAAAUCCACUGACAAGUUUCACAAAUGUUGGUGGAGGCAAUUUUGCAAUGACCUCUAUUUUGGCUUAAUCAACUUCUAUUCCAUUUUGAGAAAUUUUAUACCCAAUCACUAUUCCUUCCUGCACCAUGAGUGACAUUUCACCCAAUUCAAAAUAAGGUUAGUCUCUUCACAUUUUUAUAAGAUCUAAGCCAAAUUAUUUAAACAAAAAUCAAAUGAUUGGAAAAAUCAUUUAUGAAAAUCUCAAUAUAUUUUUCAAUCAUAUCAGAAAAAAUAGCCAUCAUACAUCUCUAAAAAGUGCACGGUGCAUUAUAAAGACCAAAUGGCAUUCUUCUAAAAGCAAAAGUACCAUAGAGACAAAUGUAAGUAGUCUUCUCUUGAUCUUCUAGUGCAAUAGGAAUUUGAUUAUGCCCUGAAUAUCCAUCAAUAAAGUAAUAAAACUCAUGUCAUGCAAGUUUUUCCAACAUCUGAUCAAUAAAUAGCAAAGGUAGGUGAUCUUUUGUAGUGCCAUCAUUCAAUUUUCUGUAAUUCAUCCACACACACCACCCAGUAAUUAUUCUAGUUAGAAUCAAUCAUACCUUCUUUUUUUGGCACAACUUGCAUGAGACUUACCCGAGAACUAUCAAAGAUAAGAUAGAUAAUACCUGCAUCAAAUAGCUUAAUUAUCUCAACUUUCAUUACUUCUUGUAUAUUUGGGUUCAAAUGCCUCUGAGGUUGGAUAGUAGGCUUGUAUUGUUUUUCCAUCAAAAUUUUAGGGAAAAUUCCAAGUAAGGAUCCGGAGUGGACCGAUCUUCUCAAAUAAGGACCUGAAAUUAACUUUGUGUUAGAUAAAAAUCUAAAAUGUACCUAUUAUCUCAAAUAAUGACCCAAAGUGGUUGAAUCAAUUCCAAAUAAGGAUUUGAGCUUGCUAGUUAACCAAAUAUUCGCUGGCUGUCAAGCAUGUGACAUUUCCGAUGACAAGAAUUUGGAAAAUUUUGUUUAAAAAAAAUAUAUAUGGAAAAUUAACAAAUCCUUAAAGAGAAAAAAAAAAGGCCUAGGUUUUCUACGGUCUCCUCAUUCUUUGUAUCCAUCCUUUGCAAAGUCAAAGACUGAAGUUCUCCCAAUUCCUUGUACCCAUCCUUUGCAAAGUCGAAGACCCAAAUUCUCCACCGGUUGAGGCACGAAUUCAAAAACAAGAAGAAUACCAUAUGCUUCUUUCUUUGUUUGCGGAGACCCAAAUUCUCCAUCGGUCGAGCAAGGUGAGGAGUGACAAGAAUCGAGUCACGACGAUGACCGGGUAGCGAUUUGGUUGAGGAGCAGCGAGGAAGAAGAGAGAAGAAAACAUAAACAUCUAAAUAAAUAAUUUAAACCAGAAUUUUUCAUUCUUUUCCGAUCACAAAUUUCCGACAAAAUUGCCCAUAUUUUAAUCGCUGGAAAAUGCCUGCCGAUGAGCUAAGGUCCUCAAUAGAAAUUAACUUGAUCAUUCCGGGUACUUAUUUGACACAAAAUUCACUUCAGAUCUUUAUUUGAAACAAUGAAUUUAUUUCGAGUCCUUAUUUGACACAAAGUUUACUUUGGGUCCUUAUUUGAGAAAAUAGAUUCACUUCGGAUCCUUAUUUGGAAUUUUCCCAAAAUUUUAUACAUGCAAAGUGAAGGGCUAAUUCCUUGAUAUCGGCUAUUUUCCAUCCAAUUGUGCCCUUAUGCUCUCUCAAUACUCUAAGUAAUUUCUGCUCCAUCAAAUCUAUCAAGGAAGAAGAUAUAAUUACUAGUAAAUAAGAAACUCCAUCUAAAUAAACAUAUUUCAAAUGAGAAUGUAAAUGUUUGAGUUCAAUAAUUGUAUAACAUUCAAUUGAUGGUUUCAAUUUUGUUGUGCAUUGCCCCAACUCCUCAAAUUUAAUUGUCUUUUUCCUUGAAUAUGGUGGAAUUGCCUCCAUAAAAUAUGUGUACUCAUAUAUCUCCUCACUCUAAACUUCUUUGUCCUAUUGAACUAAACAUGCUUCAAGCAGAUCUUUAAAAAUAUUUUCUUGAAAAAUCUUAUUCGUCAUCUUGUCAACUAUCUCAACUCUAAAAUAAGAAUUAUCAUCAGAAUGAUAUUUCAUUACUUUAAAAACAUUAAAGAAAACAAGAUCAUCUUGAACUCUAAAUAUUAACUUCCCCUGUUAUACAUCAAUAAGGGCUCUUCCUAUUGCUAGAAAAUAUCGACCUAAGAUAAGUAGUACCUCAAAAUCUUUCUCCAUGUCAAGAAUUACGAAAUCUGCAGGAAAGAUAAAUUUGUCAAGCUUUACCAAAACAUCUUUCACAAUACCUCUCGGAUAUUUAAUUAAUUGAUCAGCAAGUUAAAGUGAUAUUGUGGUUGCUUUUACUUGCUUAAUCCUAACUUCUUGAAAACUGAAUAAGGCAUCAGACUAAUGCCUACACCUAAAUUACACAAUGUUUUUUUCAAAGAAAGAAUCUCAAACAAUGCAAAGAAUAGUAAAACUCCUCAUAUCUUUCAAUUUGGAAUUUGUUUUGUAAGAUGGCUAAACACUCCUUAUUCAACUUCACAGUUUCAUAAUCCUCAAUUUUCCUUUUGUUUGCCAAAAUCUCCUUCAAAAAUUUUAUAUAACUAGGCAUUUACACUAAGGCAUUUGCAAAAGGAAUAUUAAUGUGCAAUUUUUUAAAUACAUCAUGAAAUUUAGAAAAUUGUUUAUCUAUUUUAUGUUGCUGGAGUCGUUGAGGGAUGAAAUUGCUAACACAUAUAUCUUGGAAUUAUUAGGAAAAAGUUUGCUCUUGCCCGCCUCCUUUGAUUAUUUAUUGAUCUCCUCUUCUUUGUCUCUAAAAAUCUCUUAUUUGACAUCUUCUUCUCCCACUUGUUUACUACUUCUCAAGAUUAUAAUCUUUAUGUUUUCAAUUGGAUUUUUCUCUAUGUUGCUAAGUAAAGAACCCUAUUGUCUCCCUAUUUGCUAAUUAACCCACUAACAUCUCUAGAUUUUUUAUUCAAGCAUCUUGAUUUUGAAAUCUCACAUGCAUAAUAAAGUCAUGAGUAGUGUUAGCAAGUUUGGUGACUAUAUCUUCCAAAUUUGACUUUAUCUCUUCUAAUUGUUUGAAUCCCAGCGAUGAUCUCAUCAUAUUCCGAUGACUCCAUAAAAAUUUGGAUAAUUAUGCCAUCUAGGUGUUGGAGUAGGGAUUAUUCUGUGACCCGUUAAAAUUCCAAACAAAGUUAGCAUUUGUAUUAAGUUGUGAAAAAGGGUUAGCUACCUAACAUUAUAUGCUAACAUGUCGUCCACCACAAAAAUCACAUGUCAAAUUCUAAAUUUUCAUGGCCAAAAUAUUCACGUUAUCUAGCUUUUUGUUGAGUGCUUCAAAUUGUGCAACAAUUGUAGCAAAAGCAUCAACUUCACAAACUGCACUAGUUUUUCACAUCGGUAACUUCUCACUAAGCGACUGAUAACUAUUUGACACAAUCUCUUCUAAUAGAUUGUAGGCUUCUUAUAGUGUUUUAUUAUUUAGAGUUUCUCAUACGGCUGUAUCAAUCAUAGAACGAAGAUUUGUACUAGAUCCAUUAUAAAAAGUUCGUACCUACAUCCAUACAGGUAGUUCGUGAUGUGGACAUCUCCUAAGAAAUUUAUUGAAUCUUUCUCAUACUUCAUAUAAUGAUUUAUUAUCCAUAUGCAUAAAUUAGUAACAUUCGUUACACAUUUUUGCAGACUUUGCAAAUGGAAAGAACUUACUAAGAAAUUUCUAAGUUAUAUCAUUCCAUGUAGUGAUCGAUCCUGUAGAGAGAGAAGAAAGCCAACUCUUAGCUUUGUCUCUGGAAGAAUGGAAAUGAUCUCAAUCUAAUAACAUCAUCCGUAACUUCAUUAUAUUUAGUGGUAUCACAGAUUUUAAGAAGAGAAUCGAUGUGAGUAUUUGGAUCAUCACUUGGUAGCCCACUAAAUUGCACUAAUUAUUAUAGCAUCUGAAUGAGUGAUGACUAAAUCCCAAAGUUGUUUGCCUGAAUUGUAGGUCUCCUAAUGCUUGAUGUGGUGCCUUGAAUUAUCGGCGCAACAGAAUCUCUCAAGAGUCCACACAGAUUUUCAUUAUCACAAUCUGCCAUCUUUUUAGCAUAAUUUCUAUGUUCUCUUAGUCGCCUUUAAGAUGUUCCUUCGGUUUCUGAAUCAAACUCAACAAGUUUCCCUUGUUAACUAUGUAUCAUAAACUGAUGUACACCCAAAAAAAAAAAAGGACAACAAAAGUUAGAUUAAACUUAGAAUUAUCCAAUAUCAAUAUUAAUUAGAAUUAAACUAACAAUCCCCGACAACAAUGCCAAAAAAUUGUUCGUAAAAUUCUAAAUAUAAGUGAACGCGUCAAACAAGUAAUAUAAUGAUAAGAAAGAGUAUUAUCUCACGGAGAUCAAUAAUUAAUAAACUAAUUAAAUACUACAAAUAGAUUAAUUCUAAAAUUUAUCUAACAUAUCAAAAUAGAAUUGUAAAUAAUUUAAAACUAAAAUCUUAACAGCAAAAUUUGGAGACUAAAUGCAGUAAAUCAAUCAGAUAAAUAUGUUAGAAUAUUUGAUUUCACCAUAACCACUAGAUAUGAGUUUCAUAUUAUUAUGCAUAUAAGAACGAUAUUAAAUAUUUGAUAGCGGAAUUUCCUAAUCUAUUUACUAUCAUAUUUCUAGGUAUAACAAACUUACUCAGUUUAUUAAUCCACUAUAUUUCUAUAUGAAUUUAAAUAAAUAUAAGUGCAUUAAAAUCUAUUAAUAUUCCUGGCCUAUAAUGAGUAUUUUGAAUCGCCUUCUCACCGAAAGCUAUAUAAAUAACAUUGUAUAUCUCUAUCAAUGUUUAAUUCAUGGUUAUAGACUAUAAUGAGCAAUUGUAUAUCAUCACUUUUUAGUCUCAAAUAUGCAUGUCAGAUUAUUUAAGUGGUGGUCAAUCACUUAAAAACAUUAAACACAAUAAUAUGUAACUCACAUGAAUAAAAUCACUUGCGUGCAUAAAAAUCAUGAAAUUCACAUCAUCGUGGUUACAUCGUAGCCCUAACAAAUGAAGAUUAGAACAUUGUAGAAGAAAUACAAAAAUAUAAAUUAAAGCAACAUUUUGAAUCAAAGAAGAAGAAUUCUGUCACCACUUUGUUUUCUCUUCAGAAUGCUCAAAAAACUCCCAAAGCAAUUAAAAAAUGAUCUAAUAAAGCCAAAAACUUAGCUAUUUCUAUUAUCCUAUACAUAGGAUAUAUUCAAGAAUCCUAACAAAUGCACUUGCUUAUUUUUUCACAUAAAUUCAAGGAAUAAAUUGCAUAAUCCUUAAUUGGAUAUCCAUCUUCCAACGUUUUUUAACUUGAAUUCAUAAAUCACAGAAUUUUCCUUUCCUUCUUUUGCCCUUUUUUUUCCUUAUUUUCUCCAUAAACAAUGAAUAUUUGGAUAUAUAGAAGGAAAUCCAAAUAUUUUCUAACGCAUAUUGCAUUACAAAGUACCAUGUUGCCUAAAAUAGAUAAAAUUCUCUAUUACUAUAGAGUUAUCAGGUUUCUACUUUAGAAUUGGUCAAAAGCUGCAUCACGAAAUCGGUGACCUAGCACCACUUAGCUAGAGGCUUCUCCUAAGCUUAACUUCAACGGCACCCCAUCAGUAGAAUUAUGCAAUUCCAUCAGCAUUGUCAAGAUUUUUACACAUCCGCACCAUAAACCUAGAAAAAUCAUGACCAUUUAUUUAGUAAAUUUAAAUGAAAUACGUGUCAAUUUCGUCACAUCGAUUAUUAAGGAAAAAAAAACAUUAGGCGGAAACACCCAUAAUAAACUAAUCUAAUUGAAUAGCAUCCUACGAUACUUAGCAACAUUAUUAAGAAGAAACAAACAUGACAGUUAGUGUCUCAUUCUAUACAUCAAUGACCAUAUUGAAACUAUGCAAUAUAGAUUCAUUGCAUAAAUAUUUCUAUUUAUUUUAUUGAUAAAUAGAUUUUAUUUUUUUUGGUCGGAUAUUGAUAAAUAGAUUGGAAAAUUGAAUUUAAAUUAGAUUUUGGAGGAAAACACAUUAUUAAGUACUAGUUAAUGUUAUCUUUAAAUUAUCUGAACUUAUUAUUGCGCGGACGCGGCAACUUGCGCGCACGCCCACUAGUUUAAAACAGAUAUUUCUCAUCAAACUUUAGGAUUAGCUCUAUCCUGCCACGUGUGCAUAAUUAUACUCAAUUAAAAUGUAGAAAAGCUACGCACUUGCAGAUCAAAUCAAUCUCAAACCACCCCCCAAAAAAAGAAAAAAAAAAUCAUUUAUCAGUCGUUGGUGUAAAUGAAACAAUUUACUGACAAACUGAAUUGCAUGAGAAUUCAAUUAUAUAUACAAUAACUAGUUUAAUCACAUACUUGAUCUCCCUUAUAUAUAAACCUACAAUUGACCCAUCCAAAUUUCUUCACAGGAAGACAAAACCGAGAUACAAAUAAGAUGCCCGCAUGCCACGAAGUACCCAGAAGUUCAAUUGUCCUUAAGUUCCCUUGAAUACAGAAACAACUUUGGCAUGAGCAUAAUUUGACUGCAUCACAUGUGGAAACAUCAUCCUUAAUGGGCCCCAUCUUGGAUAAUCAAGCUCUCAAAGAGCUAAACACCGUUCAGUAUUAUGGGAUACUAGUAAACAUCAGAGCCACCAAGCGAAAAGCACAAACCGUACACAAUAAUUGCGCACCCAUACCCAUUAUCAGCUUCGAGCUGCCAUGUUUGCUCGCAGAACUUGUGAGAUAUAUGAUAGACAAAACACAUUAUCGGCAAAAGCUGCAAAACGUAUCUUCCUAUCUCAAGGGUUGAUAAACAGUAAGAAAACAUUGCAGAUUCAAAACUGUUAUGCAAUUAGAAAGAUACACACACAAACAGAAGAGCGGGAAAUAGGUACAUUCUGAGCUACUCUAAUAAAAUCCUUGACCUGUUGACUCGGGAAGAAUCCCUGCAAUGAACAGGUCAUGACGGAAAGCAUUCCUUUUGGAGCCAUCCUAAAUGGGUACCCAACAGGAGGAGCCAAUGAUAAUCCGACCUCUCCAAGCUUGCAGCAUCCAGUUGCCGUCUUCAUUAAGCGCAAAAUCCUUGUGGUACCAUUCUUUCAUCUUACCCCUGAAGAACUUCAUGAGCUCUUGGUCCAGAGGAAGCGCCUUAAAUCCAGCCCUCAUAUGACGAACCUGCCAUUGCUUGUACGUUUCCGACCUCUCAACCCUUUCCGAACCUUCACAUGCUACAAUAUUCAUAAUUUCCCAACCAUGGAGCUCUCUCUCAAUAACCAACCUCUCAUUGCUGUCGCCAUCUAAAAUAGCAUCAAACAUAUCAUAAAUUGCGGAAAGAUGAAAAAGUGCCUCUCGGAAUCUUGUCACAAAAAAGGGCGCAUUGAAGGAGCCGUUAGAUACAGCAUGAACAAAAAUAUCUGGUUUAAUCUGCCAAAUUAGAUUCAACACAGCAUCCCGUGGACAGUUGUCCCCAACUGUCUCAUCAAGGAGAAUCCUAAACCGAUCUGAACUAUUCACAGCAACUAUCUCAUUGCUUUGAAUCUUGAGAUCCUCGAGUUUGACAGAUUCCCAAUUCUUCGAUACUAUGUAAUUGAAUUCAAAAGGGACAUUAAAACGCUUACAACACUUUUCCAAAUGACGACCUGUCUCUUCUAGUUUUUCUGACGGGCGGAAACCAGCCUGUGGAAGCUCUAUCCCUGUGAUGCGCAAUUUACAGGGCCCUUCUGAUCGAGAAGAGAGCUUCUGGAUGAGGGUUGGCCAUUGAAAACCAAAUCCAAUGCCAAAAUCUAUUAUAUGCAAGGUAGUGGCUUUCUCUGCAAAUCUCAAAAUCAUGUAAUUUGCAAAGCAAAUGGAUAACUUACUAAACGGACAUGUUGAAAUGUGAAGGUGGUAAGCUUUCAAGAUAUCGGCUGCUGAGGUC
rnacentral:lncRNA from 1 species